UACGAAGGGGGCUAGCGUUGUUCGGAAUCACUGGGCGUAAAGCGCACGCAGGCGGAUCGUUAAGUCAGGGGUGAAAUCCCGAGGCUCAACCUCGGAACUGCCUUUGAUACUGGCGAUCUUUGAGUCCGGGAGAGGUGAGUGGAAUUCCGAGUGUAGAGGUGAAAUUCGUAGAUAUUCGGAAGAACACCAGUGGCGAAGGCGGCUCACUGGCCCGGUACUGACGCUCAUGUGCGAAAGCGUGGGGAGCAAACAGG
rnacentral:rRNA from 1 species